AUCAGGCUUGGUGAUACAUGCCUGAAGUCCCAGAUACUCGGGAGGCUGAGGCAGGAGGGUCACUGGAGCCCAGGAGUUCCAGACCAGCCUGGGCAACAUGGGGAGAUCCAAUCUCAU
rnacentral:sRNA from 1 species